GGAUCAACACAUAUACAGAGAGACAAAAACAUACAUACUCUCACUCACACCAACUGUCAAUUUAGAAUCACCAAUUCACAUAAACUGC